ACCCGCGUACAUGCCACCGGGGCAUCCCGGAGGCAGGAAAGGCUUCGGCCGGACAGGGAUGGGCAUGCGGCGCAUUAGGCAGUAGGCGGGGUAACGGCCCACCUAACCGACGAUGCGUAGGGGUUCUGAGAGGAAGGUCCCCCACACUGGUACUGAGACACGGACCAGACUCCUACGGGAGGCAGCAGUGAGGAAUAUUGGUCAAUGGUCGGGAGACUGAACCAGCCAAGCCGCGUGAGGGAGGAAGGUACAGAGUAUCGUAAACCUCUUUUGUCAGGGAACAAAGACUGGGACGCGUCCCCGGAUGAGUGUACCUGAAGAAAAAGCAUCGGCUAACUCCGUGCCAGCAGCCGCGGUAAUACGGAGGAUGCGAGCGUUAUCCGGAUUUAUUGGGUUUAAAGGGUGCGCAGGCGGUCUGUUAAGUCAGCGGUCAAAGCCCGGGGCUCAACCCCGGCCCGCCGUUGAAACUGGCAGUCUCGAGUUGGAGAGAAGUAUGCGGAAUGCGCGGUGUAGCGGUGAAAUGCAUAGAUAUCGCGCAGAACUCCGAUUGCGAAGGCAGCAUGCCGGCUCCACACUGACGCUGAGGUACGAAAGCGUGGGUAUCGAACAGGAUUAGAUACCCUGGUAGUCCACGCAGUAAACGAU
rnacentral:rRNA from 1 species